rnacentral:rRNA from 1 species
GGAAUGAGUACAAUUUAAAUCCCUUAACAAGUAACAAUUAGAGGGGCAAGUCUGGUGCCAGCAGCCGCGGUAAUUCCAGCUCUAAUAGCGUAUAUUAAUAUUGUUGUAGUUAAAAAGCUCGUAGUUGAAAUUUGGAACUUUAUUGUAUUGGUUUAUCUUUUGAUGAACUGUAUAAUGGGUUUCUUCCUACUAGAGUUCGAUUCUGUUCUUAAUUGAAUGGAGUAGCUAUCUCUCGGGGUGGUCAAUUGGUUGUUAUAUCUCCACUAAUAAGCGGAGAGGGGUAAAACGUACUUAAAGUAAGUUAUGUGGGUCAAGGUAUGGUGAUUAAUUGGAGUUCUAGUUCAUUUACUUUGUAGAAAAUUAAGUAGUGUUUAAAGUACAGCCUCUUGGGGUCGACUCGAAUACAUUAGCAUGGGAGUAAUAAAAUAAGGA